rnacentral:rRNA from 1 species
GACGAGCGCUGGCGGCGUGCUUAACACAUGCAAGUCGAACGGAAAGGCCCUGCUUUUGUGGGGUGCUCGAGUGGCGAACGGGUGAGUAACACGUGAGUAACCUGCCCUUGACUUUGGGAUAACUUCAGGAAACUGGGGCUAAUACCGGAUAGGAGCUCCUGCUGCAUGGUGGGGGUUGGAAAGUUUCGGCGGUUGGGGAUGGACUCGCGGCUUAUCAGCUUGUUGGUGGGGUAGUGGCUUACCAAGGCUUUGACGGGUAGCCGGCCUGAGAGGGUGACCGGCCACAUUGGGACUGAGAUACGGCCCAGACUCCUACGGGAGGCAGAAGUGGGGAAUAUUGCACAAUGGGCGGAAGCCUGAUGCAGCAACGCCGCGUGCGGGAUGACGGCCUUCGGGUUGUAAACCGCUUUCGCCUGUGACGAAGCGUGAGUGACGGUAAUGGGUAAAGAAGCACCGGCUAACUACGUG